GAUGAACGCUGGCGGCGUGCCUAAUACAUGCAAGUCGAGCGAACGGACGAGAAGCUUGCUUCGCGGAUGUUAGCGGCGGAGGGGUGAGUAACACGUGGAUAACCUACCUAUAAGACUGGGAUAACUUCGGGAAACCGGAGCUAAUACCGGAGAAGAUUUUGAACCGCAUGGGUCAAAAGUGAAAGACGGUGGUGCUGGCACUUAUAGAGGGAUCCGGGCUGCAUUAGGUGGUUGGUAAGGUAACGGGUUACCAAGGCAACCAUGCAUAGGCGACCGGAGAGGGUGAUAGGCCACCUGGGAACGUAACCACGGUCCAUAGUACUAAGGGAGGCAGCAGUAGGGAACGUGCGGCAGUGGGCGAAAGCCUGACGGAGUAAGGCCGCGUGAGUUAUGACGGUCUUCCGAUCGUAAAACUGUGCUAUUAGGGAAGAACCUCUGUGUACGUAACUGUGCCCAUCGUGACGGUACUUGAUCAGAAAGCCACGGCUAACUACGUG
rnacentral:rRNA from 1 species